GGGUCCAUAGUGCAGUGGUUAUCACAUCUGUUUAACAUUCAGAGGGUCCUGGGUUCGAUCCCUAGUGGAACCA